rnacentral:rRNA from 1 species
GAUGAACGCUGGCGGCGUGCCUAAUACAUGCAAGUCGAGCGAACAGACGAGGAGCUUGCUCCUCUGACGUUAGCGGCGGACGGGUGAGUAACACGUGGAUAACCUACCUAUAAGACUGGGAUAACUUCGGGAAACCGGAGCUAAUACCGGAUAAUAUAUUGAACCGCAUGGUUCAAUAGUGAAAGACGGUUUUGCUGUCACUUAUAGAUGGAUCCGCGCCGCAUUAGAUAGUUGGUAAGGUAACGGCUUACCAAGGCAACGAUGCGUAGCCGACCUGAGAGGGUGAUCGGCCACACUGGAACUGAGACACGGUCCAGACUCCUACGGGAGGCAGCAGUAGGGAAUCUUCCGCAAUGGGCGAAAGCAUGACGGAGCAACGCCGCGUGAGUGAUGAAGGUCUUCGGAUCGUAAAACUCUGUUAUUAGGGAAGAACAAAUGUGUAAGUAACUAUGCACGUCUUGACGGUACCUAAUCAGAAAGCCACGGCUAACUACGUG